CGUCACAAGUGAGGAUUAUCUGAGAAUCGUGAUCGAAUGUAAAUGGAAAGCAAUUGUUCUGUUCCAAUCGAAUCGUGCACAAUGCUACACUUUGUGUAUUCCUGUGUACGUUUGUGUUAAGCAAUUGGAAAGCAUCUAAUGUUACCUUAGAAAUGAAAAUAGCGAGAUAAUCUCGCGAGAUUCUUUUUGUUUUUAUUACAAUGACAAUAAACAACGAUGAAUAGCUUAGGUUUAAAUCUAAUUUUAAGAAUGGGUUGUAUAUGCACUAAAGAAAUCAUUACGAUAAACUCGAGGAAAUAUAAAGUUUGUGAACACCUCGGAGAUGGUGGAUUUAGCACAGUAUUUUUAGUUGAAGAUAUCGUCACACAUAAAAAGUAUGCUAUUAAGAAAAUUGUUUGUCAUGGACCAGAAGAUCAGCAAUUAGCAACAAAAGAGGUUGAAUAUUAUAAAUUGAUAAAACAUUCAAAUGUUAUAGAAUGUUUAGAUUCAACUUGCAAAGGUACUGCUGAUCCAAUCGUGAAUACAACAAGCGAAAUAUUAAUUGUUUUACCAUAUUAUCAUAAAGGAACAUUAGCUAAUGAUUUGGAACGACGAGCAAAGAAUUAUGAUUAUAUGAAUCCUAUAGAUAUCCUCAGCAUAUUUUUACAGAUAUGUGAAGGCGUAAAAGCAUUUCAUGAAGCUAAACCAGAACCUCUUGCUCAUAGAGAUUUAAAAACUGCAAAUAUAGUGCUUAACGAUGUUGGAAUACCUGUUAUUAUGGACUUGGGUUCUGUAGCAACUGCUAGAGUUAAAGUAUGCAGUACUCAAGCUGCGCGGACUUUACAGGACUUAGCAACUGAAAGAUGUUCCAUGCCAUAUAGAGCUCCAGAACUAUUUAAUGUUGAAAGUUAUUGUAUGGUUGACGAACGAACAGAUAUCUGGUCAUUGGGAUGUAUACUGUACGCAUUAUGUUAUUUUAAAUCUCCUUUUGAUACUGUUUACGAACGAGGCGACAGUGUAGCUCUUGCUGUGAUGAGUGCGCACGUAAAGUUUCCAGAAGAUACCCCGUAUAAUAAGGAUAUGCAAAAUUUAAUUUUGUUGAUGUUAAAAGUCAAUCCCAUGGAACGUCCGUAUAUAUAUAGCGUAAUAGAGAGUGUGCACGAUACUAUCGCCAAAUUGAAAGCAUAAUCGCAUAUUAUAUUAUGACGUAAGAUAUUGCGAUGACUAAACCACAUAUUUAGGAAAAUGGAAACAGCCUCGAGUUGUACACGCGAACAGUGCGCUUGUGACGCUUUUGUUUCAAUGUUUUACGGAAGACGCAAAAAGUUUCGGAGCGCGGUUCAUCAUCUAUAUUAAUGCGUGUGUAAUGAGCGGUAAUGGGAUAGCUGUCAAAGUCAUACAAAAUCAAAGUAUACGAGGUGAAAUCAAGAAAUAUAUAUCUUGUGUUGUUCAGACACUUAAGAUAUUAUAAUUAAAUAAGAUUUCAACUUCAAAAACUACCUCACAACAAUAAAUUCU